GACGAACCACACAAACGUUAUUCGGAAUUACUAGGCUUAAAGGGUGCGUAGGCGGCGCGGAAAGUAGGGUGUGAAAUCCCUCGGCUCAACCGAGGAAUUGCGCCCUAAACUACCGUGCUCGAGGGAGAUAGAGGUGAGCGGAACUUAGGGUGGAGCGGUGAAAUGCGUUGAUAUCCUAAGGAACACCGGUGGCGAAAGCGGCUCACUGGAUCUCUUCUGACGCUGAGGCACGAAAGCUAGGGUAGCGAACGGG
rnacentral:rRNA from 1 species